rnacentral:rRNA from 1 species
GACGAACGCUGGCGGCGUGCUUAACACAUGCAAGUCAAACGAGAAAGCAUCCUUCGGGAUGUGAGUAAAGUGGCGAACGGGUGAGUAACACGUAGGCAACUUGCCUUUAGGUUUGGGAUAACUUUGCUAAAGCGGAGCUAAUACCGAAUGAUGUCUUCCAACGCAUGUUGGAUUAUUAAAGAUGGCCUCUACUUGUAAGCUAUCGCCUGAAGAUAGGCCUGCGUCUCAUUAGCUAGUUGGUAGGGUAAUAGCCUACCAAGGCUACGAUGAGUAGCCGGCCUGAGAGGGUGUCCGGCCACACUGGGACUGAGAUACGGCCCAGACUCCUACGGGAGGCAG